rnacentral:tRNA from 1 species
GGUCGGAUGGCGCAAUGGUAGCGCGUUACUUUCCGGUUCCAAAACAUCCGUGGUAAAGGCUCUGGGUUCGAAUCCCAGUCUGAUCG